rnacentral:rRNA from 1 species
ACUCCUACGGGAGGCAGCAGUGGGGAAUAUUGCACAAUGGGCGCAAGCCUGAUGCAGCCAUGCCGCGUGUGUGAAGAAGGCCUUCGGGUUGUAAAGCACUUUUCAGUUGUGAGGAAGGUGGUGUCGUUAAUAGCGGCAUCAUUUGACGUUAGCAACAGAAGAAGCACCGGCUAACUCCGUGCCAGCAGCCGCGGUAAUACGGAGGGUGCGAGCGUUAAUCGGAAUUACUGGGCGUAAAGCGCAUGCAGGUGGUUGUUAAGUCAGAUGUGAAAGCCCGGGGCUCAACCUCGGAACUGCAUUUGAAACUGGCAGACUAGAGUACUGUAGAGGGGGUUAGAAUUUCAGGUGUAGCGGUGAAAUGCGUAGAGAUCUAGAAGG